UCAGAGAUAGUUCAAUGGUAGAACACCCGGCUCUGAACCGGGAUGUUGGAGGUUCGAAUCCUCCUCUCUGAACCA
rnacentral:tRNA from 1 species